rnacentral:rRNA from 1 species
UAUUCCCCACUGCUGCCUCCCGUAGGAGUCUGGGCCGUGUCUCAGUCCCAAUGUGGCCGGUCACCCUCUCAGGUCGGCUACUGAUCGUCGCUUUGGUAGGCCGUUACCCUGCCAACUGGCUAAUCAGACGCGGGUCCAUCUCACAGUGAUAAAUCUUUUCACCCUGUACCAUGCGGUACUGUGUGCUUAUGCGGUAUUAUCAGUCGUUUCCAACUGCUAUCCCCCUCUGUGAGGCAGGUUGCCCACGUGUUACUCACCCGUCCGCCACUCAACUUUCAUCCAAUCUACCGAAGUUUCAUGAAAUCAGUUUCGUUCGACUUGCAUGUGUUAGGCACGCCGCCAGCGUUCAUCCUGAGCCAAA